AUGCUCGCUUCGGCAGCACAUAUGCUAAAAUUGGAACCAUACAGAGAAGAUUAGCAUGGCUCCUGCUCAAGGGUGACACACAAAUUCCUGAAGCUGUCCAUAUUUAA